AAUGGGUUGGACCCCACAGGGUUUCGAACAUGAGGCAUUAUUGCAUAAGAGUUUGUUACAUGAUUAAGAUGCAUGAAAUCUUAUCUAGAGGGAUAUUUUUUUUGGUUGAUCUAUUGGUUUGUCAUGUCUUAAAUGUAGCCAUGGAAAUACUAAGCAUAUUAUUUGAAACAAAAAGGUUAGAUGUUUGCAUGUUGCUUUGGCCCUUCACCUUACUUAGGUAAUAGUGAAGAGGAUUAUUC
rnacentral:lncRNA from 1 species